CGUGAGCUGCUUCUCUUCCUUUCCAUCUUUUUCUUCGUGCGACACCUCCAACAGAAACUGAAGAAGACCAAGCUGCUUCCUUAGAAAAUUUUCCUUCGUCCGCCAGCUGAACCGAAGACCAAUCCACCGAGAUUUUGGUCAGUCUCAGCAAGAUUGUUGACCGCGUGCAGCUCCACUACUUCGUGUCUCCUCCAUCAGCGUUGAAGACUUACCGAAGCUGCUCCUCACGUCCGCGUCUUCAACGUCGGUCCAAAGCCAGUGAAGCAGCGCCGAACGAAGCCACCACUGCCUCCUGCACCUACGCGUCCAACCGAAGACUACAAGCUUCUUCGUGUCUUCAAUUUGCUGGUCAACAUCUCCUUCCACUGAAGAAGCCGCACGUCCGAGGACUUCAGCGACUUGAAGACCCUAGCGAAGACCACUCAUCUUCGGUCUUCCUUCGUGCCUUCAAAUCAGUUCACCGAAGGCAGCAUCAACCGGUCAACUGACCGAAUACCACACGACCAGCUGCCCCGAAGAUUUCCACGAAGCCAGUGGUUGAUCACCCUUCGCAACUUCUCUCUCUCUAUCUCUUGCGGAUCGUCCCCAACAGCGUCCCAGUUCGGCCACGAAUCCGCACGCCCCUACUCCACCGCUUCUUGCCGUUUGUUGACUGAAGACCUUCAACCCUCCACGCGUCCGAGUCCGUUCUUGGCUCGGUCAACAGCGGCAGCAACCGAAGCUGCUUGGUGGACCGCAAAAGCCCCACCCGUGCACAGAUCCGUCGCCAGCAGCUGCUUCUCACGUUCCCUCCCUAGCACCAUCACCGACGCUGCUUCAGUCUUCUUGUUCGGGGCCCAGCUCGUGCAAGCAGCUCCUUUGGGCCACCGAAGCUCCUUUGGGCCACCGAAACCAGCAGUCCCACGAAGCUUCUACACAAGCCCCGCAAGUCAGCCCAGUCGAAUCUCACCAGUAGCAGCCCAUCAGCAGAAUUUUAUUGAGGCCCAUCUCCUGCAGUCUUCAAGCCCGGUCCAAUCCAAGUGAAUUAAUUGGUCAAGCCCAUUUCAGCAGGCCCAAUCCAACUUGGGUCUGGCCCAAAAGCAAGAACAAAUCUCAGUUGGGCUGAGAUUUGUUGGGCCAAGCUUAAGGCCCGGUCCAAGUCCGCCGGUGUCGUCGAAAGUCCGAUUUCGGCCGCCGUCGCGUCGCCGUUGCGGUGAUUC
rnacentral:lncRNA from 1 species